AUUGAACGCUGGCGGCAGGCCUAACACAUGCAAGUCGAGCGCGAAAGUUCUUCGGAAUGAGUAAAGCGGCGGACGGGUGAGUAAUACAUGGGAAUCUGCCUGGUAGUGGGGGACACGUUUCGAAAGGAACGCUAAUACCGCAUACGCCCUACGGGGGAAAGGGGGGGAUCGUCGAACGCCCUCGCUAUCAGAUGAGCCCA
rnacentral:rRNA from 1 species